CAGGUAGGUGGUUUGAUAAGUCUGUUGUGUAAGCUCCCGGCUUAACUGGGAGAGGUCAACGGAAACUAUCAGACUUGAGUAUAGGAGAGGUUACUGGAAUUCCCGGUGUAGCGGUGAAAUGCGCAGAGAUCGGGAGGAACACCAAUGGCGAAAGCAGGUAACUGGACUAUUACUGACACUCAGCUGCGAAAGCUAGGGGAGCAAACAGGAUUAGAUACCCUGGUAGUCCUAGCUGUAAACGAUGCACAUUAGACGUGAGGGGUAUCGACCCCCUUCGUGUCGACGCAAACGCAUUAAAUGUGCCGCCUGGGGAGUACGGCCGCAAGGUUGAA
rnacentral:rRNA from 1 species